rnacentral:lncRNA from 1 species
CAAAGGAGAAAAGAGGGUUUGGGUGAGUUAGGGUUUAGGUUGAAAAGAGGGAGCUUGAAUGUGAUUUGGACAGAGGUUUUGUGGCUUUCAAGCUUGAAAAAUGAGUGGCGAUAGUGCUCUAUUUAUAGGGGAAGUAAAGGGGUUGAAGUGGGUGAAAGAAAAGGUCCUCUAGAUAAAAAACAGAGCCAUUUCUGCUAUCUGCGCAGGUGUAAUCGGUUACCCUGAUUAGGGUAAUCGGUUACACAGUCCCAAAAUGGCCAAAAUAUCAGUUUUUGGUCUGGGUAAUCGGUUACCCUGAUUAGGGUAACCGGUUACCCAAUUUUAUUUUAUUUUUUU